rnacentral:miRNA from 1 species
UUUGACAGUUCUCUGUCAGUUUUGCAUGGUUGCGCUGCAAGAAGAAAUAAGUUGUGCAAAUCUAUGCAAAACUGACAGCGGUCUGAUUUUCC